rnacentral:tRNA from 1 species
GCGGGAGUGGCUCAGUGGCUAGAGCGUUGCCUUGCCAAGGCAAAUGUCGCGGGUUCGAAUCCCGUCUCCCGCUCCA